GCCCAGCGCAGUGGCCCGUGCCUGUAGUCCCAGCUACUCCAGAGGCUAAGGUGGGAGGGACACUUGAGCCCAGGAGUUCUGGGCUGUAGUGCGCUAUGCCCAUCGGGUGUCCGCACUAAGUUUGGCAUCAAUAUGGUGACCUCCUGGGAGUGGGGGACCACCAGGUUGCCUAAGGAGGGCUGAACCGGCCCAGGUCGGAAACACAGCAGGUCAAAACUCCCAUGAAGAUCAGUAGUGGGAUCUUGCCUGUGAAUAGCCACUGCACUCCAGCCUGGGCAACAUAGGGAGUCCCCAUCUCU
rnacentral:SRP_RNA from 1 species